rnacentral:rRNA from 1 species
UACGUAGGGGGCAAGCGUUGUCCGGAAUCAUUGGGCGUAAAGCGCGUGUAGGCGGCUCAGUAAGUCCGCUCUGAAAGCCCGGGGCUCAACCCCGGGAGGCGGGUGGAUACUGCUGAGCUUGAGUCCGGAAGAGGCGAGUGGAAUUCCCGGUGUAGCGGUGAAAUGCGCAGAUAUCGGGAGGAACACCAAUGGCGAAGGCAGCUCGCUGGGACGUUACUGACGCUGAGACGCGAAAGCGUGGGGAGCGAACAGG